GGAUCAUUCAGCAGCUGUGGAACUUUUUCUAUUCUGCCAGAAUGUUCAUGGGCUCCUCUGCCUGCAGUUGCAGCAUGAAGACCGCCUGAAGGCAGAGAGCGGCGGAGUCAUCAGGAAGGGGAACCCUCUCCAGGGCCCUAGAGUGGGCUCACACGUGCUGACAAAGCAAGAGACUUGGCUGGAGGGGCGCC